rnacentral:sRNA from 1 species
AUCCUUUCCCCUCUUCG